GACGAACGCUGGCGGCGUGCAUAACACAUUCAAGUCGAACGGAGAAGACUGCUUCGGUAGUUUUCUUAGUGGCGGACGGGUGAGUAACGCGUGAGCAAUCUACCUCCCAGUACGGAAUAACAACCGGAACAGUUGCUAAUACCGCAUGAAAUGGCAGCAUCGCAUGGUGCAACCAUCAAAGAUUUAUCGCUGGAAGAUGAGCUUGCGUCCGAUUAGAUAGUUGGCGGAGUAACAGCCCACCAAGUCGACGAUCGGUAGCCGGACUGAGAGGUUGAACGGCCACAUUGGAACUGAGACACGGUCCAGACUCCUACGGGAGGCAGCAGUGAGGAAUAUUGGUCCAAUGGUCGAAGGACUGAACCAGCCAUGCGCGUGAAGGUGACGGCCCUAUGGGUCUUAAACUUCUUUUGUAA
rnacentral:rRNA from 1 species